GGCCCAGUACAGUGUAGUGGUUUGAGUGUUGGACUACAACUCUGGAGACCAGGGUUCAAACCCUCACUUGGCCA